UACGUAGGGGGCUAGCGUUGUCCGGAUUUAUUGGGCGUAAAGAGCGUGUAGGCGGCCAAGUAGGUCCGGUGUGAAAACUCGAGGCUUAACCUCGAGAUGUCAUCGGAAACCAUUUGGCUAGAGUCCGGAAGAGGAAAGUGGAAUUCCUGGUGUAGCGGUGAAAUGCGUAGAUAUCGCUUGGAACGCCAAUGGUGAAAACAGCUCGCUGGGGGUGUGCUGACGCUGAGACACGAAAGCCAGGGGAGCGAACGGG
rnacentral:rRNA from 1 species